rnacentral:rRNA from 1 species
UACGGAGGAUCCAAGCGUUAUCCGGAUUUAUUGGGCUUAAAGGGUGCGUAGGUGGGAUAAUAAGUCAGAGGUGAAAGCUAGCAGCUUAACUGUUAAAUUGCCUUUGAUACUGUUAUUCUUGAGUAUAGUUGGCGUUGGCGGAAUGUGACAUGUAGCGGUGAAAUGCGUAGAUAUGUCACAGAACACCGAUCGCGAAGGCAGCUAACGAAACUAUCACUGACACUGAUGCACGAAAGCGUGGGGAGCAAACAGG